UCUUAUGGAUAAGCAAAGAAAGUGGUUUCUUGAGACAAUCUAUUUCUGGUGAAAAUGCUGUGAA
rnacentral:pre_miRNA from 1 species